rnacentral:pre_miRNA from 1 species
GUAAUAUUCCCUUCAUCCGAAAAUACUUGUCAUCAAAAUGAAUAAAAGGAAUGUAUUUAAACGUAUUUUAGUUCUAUAUACAUAUUUUUUAUUUAUUUUGAUGAUAAGUAUUUUCGAAAGGAGAAAGUAAUUU